rnacentral:sRNA from 1 species
GUUUUAAUAAAGAUACUAACACAGAUAUCCAUAAAAUAGAAAUCCAAACACAAGUUUCAAAUCUCAACUGCGAAUCAAAAUACUGUGUAAAAUGCUUCAUAACAGUUCGGCCAUAAAGGAAGGUUAGAACCCUAAUCCUCAAUCCGCACCAAUUGCUGAAACUUUACCGCUACUGCAACAAUUUAUUUUGACGAAUAACAUUAAGGAGAUUCAGUUCAGAAAAUCUGUGUGUAAUACCACUAACACCGUUCUCUUUGCUGUAAUAAAUAAUAAAUGAUGAAUUUCAAUUGAUCAGACAGUAUAUCAUCUCACCACACGGAAUUUUCUUGGUUUCAGUAAAAGGUAUUAGCACAGCUUACCGAACAAGAUCUGAAUUCAAACGGGGAUUCGCUUAGACUGUGACUACCACAAUGAACGAUUAAGCUGCGUCCAGUUAAGGUUUCAGUGAAAGAGAUUCAGUCCAAUGCCAAAAUGCAGUGACUCACAACCAGAGAGAGAAAUGAGUUGGAAUUUCCCGUGGUGGAAUGGAUAGGACAACACCGACGGCAGGUACAGAUUUCUGUGAAAGUGGGGCCCUCACGAUGAAUUCCGCGUGUCCGUUUACCUUCU